rnacentral:rRNA from 1 species
UACGUAGGCAGCGAGCGUUGUUCGGAGUUACUGGGCGUAAAGGGCGCGUAGGCGGCGUGACAAGUCACUUGUGAAAUCUCCGGGCUUAACCCGGAAACUGCCAUUGAUACUAUCUGUCUUGAAUGUCGUGGAGGUAAGCGGAAUAUGUCAUGUAGCGGUGAAAUGCUUAGAUAUGACAUAGAACACCAAUUGCGAAGGCAGCUCACUACUCAAUAUUGACUCUAGAGCGAAAAGCGUGGGGAUCAAACAGG